CGCCACCACAGCGGCCCGGGGAGCCCGGGGAAGCGGCUCCCGAGCCACAACCACGGCCCCGUUCCGCCCCCGCUGCCCCUCACGGCCCCCGGUCCCGGUCCCCGUUCCCCCCGCCGAGCGCGGACUCCGGCACCGGCCGAAGCAACCACAGCCCUCGUUAAGAGACCGUCUGGAAGUGCCGUUUUUAUUUUUGGUCGAAAAGGCCGAUGGAGAACAACAGCAGAUGCACGUUCACAAGUGGCGGCGCGAGGCGGAGACCCCCGCCCGUGUGUUUUAGCAGCAUGAACAGUCCCGAGGAGUUAGGAGACCACAGCCAAGGACAUGGAUUUUCACAAUGGAGCCAGGCCGAGUACACGAGAUACCGAAGGAGGAGGAUAGUUAGCGUAAAUUGGCCAGGUUGCUUUUGUUUUUGCCUAGCCCUGUGCCACCUCUCUGGUCAACUACUGGUUGUUGUUCUGACUAAAAGAUGCACUAACACAUUCGUUCAGUCUCCUGUGCGUUCAAUCUCGCAAUUUCUGAAUUUUUAUUUUACAGUAAACAAUAAACUGAAUCCUUUCA